rnacentral:rRNA from 1 species
CCUACGGGAGGCUGCAGUGGGGAAUAUUGCACAAUGGGGGAAACCCUGAUGCAGCGACGCCGCGUGAGUGAAGAAGGAUUUCGGUAUGGAAAGCUCUAUCAGCAGGGAAGAAGAAAGACGGUACCUGACGAAGAAGCCCCGGCUAACUACGUGCCAGCAGCCGCGGUAAGACGUAGGGGGCAAGCGUUAUCCGGAUUUACGGGGUGUAAAGGGAGCGUAGACGGUAUGGCAAGUCGGAAGUGAAAGCCCAGGGCUUAACCCUGGGACUGCGUUGGAAACUGUUAGACUAGAGUGCUGGAGAGGUAAGUGGAAUUCCUCUUGUAGCGGUGAACUGCUUAGAUAUUACGAGGAACACCAGUGGCGACGGCGGCUUACUGGACUGUACCUGACGUUGAGGCUCGAAAGCGUGGGGAGCAAACCGGAUUAGAUACCCUUGUAGUC